AGGGAACCUCGAGUGCCAGGUUACAAAUCUGGCUGUCGUGAUGCCUAAAAAGCAUUGCAUAGCAAGGGCCGGGCAAGACCGGUGCCAGCCGCCGCGGUAACACCGGCGGCUCGAGUGGUAACCGUUAUUAUUGGGUCUAAAGGGUCUGUAGCCGGCCGGAUAAGUCUCUUGGGAAAUCUGGCAGCUCAACUGUCAGGCUUUCAGGAGAUACUGUCUGGCUCGAGGCCGGGAGAGGUGAGAGGUACUUCAGGGGUAGGGGUGAAAUCUUGUAAUCCUUGAAGGACCACCAGUGGCGAAGGCGUCUCACCAGAACGGACCUGACGGCAAGGGACGAAAGCUAGGGGCACGAACCGGAUUAGAUACCCGGGUAGUCCUAGCCGUAAACGAUACUCGCUAGGUGUCGGCCACGGUGCGACCGUUGUCGGUGCCGUAGGGAAGCCGUGAAGCGAG
rnacentral:rRNA from 1 species